rnacentral:rRNA from 1 species
UGGGGAAUAUUGGACAAUGGGGGGAACCCUGAUCCAGCCAUGCCGCGUGUGUGAAGAAGGCCUUAUGGUUGUAAAGCACUUUAAGCGAGGAGGAGGGUACUGGUAUUAAUACUACCAGGUACUGGACGUUACUCGCAGAAUAAGCACCGGCUAACUCUGUGCCAGCAGCCGCGGUAAUACAGAGGGUGCGAGCGUUAAUCGGAUUUACUGGGCGUAAAGCGUGCGUAGGCGGCUAAUUGAGUCGGAUGUGAAAUCCCCGAGCUUAACUUGGGAAUUGCAUUCGGUACUGGUUAGCUAGAGUGUGGGAGAGGAUGGUAGAAUUCCAGGUGUAGCGGUGAAAUGCGUAGAGAUCUGGAGGAAUACCGAUGGCGAAGGCAGCCAUCUGGCCUAACACUGACGCUGAGGUACGAAAGCAUGGGGAGCAAACAGG